GCCCUGCACUUCCUUCUCCUUCACUUCAGCUCCCCCUACGCGUUGUACUCCAAUGUUGACUCCUCUUGUUGCCAUCCCAUCUCCACCAGGGUGGCGGCAUAGGGGCACGCGCCACAGGUAGCUCAUAGGGUUGCAACAUGAGAGGCACAGUCCUUGCCCUGAACACAGCUCAUGUAGCACUAACAUGGCCUCAUCCUACCCGUGUGAUGGUAGAGUGGUAGGGAGACACAACGGGUUUGUCAAGCCAUCAGGCUGGCACACCCUAGCUAAACCCUUGUAGGGUCAUGCAUAGGCCGAAGGCACGACAUGACGAUAAUAUAUGGGUCAUGCUUUAACAAGUCCAGGCUGUGUCACCCGCUUGGCUAUCUAUAUCUAUGGCAAAGUUCGAGGAGAGGCAUGCUCUUGGUGUGUUGCCGAUGCAAGAUGUUAAAUUAAGGAACUCUAAUUUGAGGGUAUGUGGUUGUUUUUUUUUGUUUUGUCCUUCUUUGUUAUUUUAUUGGACUUCUAGUAGGCCGAGACCUACUUAAAAAAGAUGGUAAAAAUUGAAGGAGAUAGAUUGUUGAGAUUGCUAUAAACUGUUAAAAGCACGGGCAGGAAUAUAUUUUUUUAGAUGAAUUAGAGCUUUAAUUAAAAAGCUAGCUCCGGAAGAGCCAUCGUACUACUGCUAUCAUGAGAACGGGGAUGUAACGGCACGUACGUAUAUAGCUAAGCUAGGUAGCAAAAGUGCAAGCAAUUCGUUUUUUUCUUGUGUGGCUCACCAAUAAUGCAAGUGAUCAGAAAAGGCAGCAACAAAUAAUGCAUGCAUUUGAUUUGAUGUAUAGCGACGUUAGCGAUGGCACCGUCGGCCACACAGUACAUACAUACUGUAUGGACUUGAAGAGAUGGAGUACACCAAACGCUUCAACUACUAACAACAACCUGCAUCUUUAUACUAACAACCUGCAUAUACUCCUACAUGAGCUAACUACUAGCUAGUAGGAAGGAGUAGCUCGUUAACGUUAACAUGCAUGGACGACGGAUCGGCCGGUCCAACAAGCUAGCAAUCAUCCGUCCAUCAUCAUCUAAUACGCUGAUCUGCCCUGUCGACUGUCGUCCUGCUGCUACUGUAUGUGAGAGAGACGUAUGUAUAGUACGUUGUUCCUGCAGAUCCAACUGCUUUUGCUUUUAAGUAUCACUAGUACAAUAUUCUUAACGGAGGCCGGCAAAAUUUAUUAAUGGAGGCGGCCUUUCCAACCGCCUCUAAUGGAAGGCCUUGGUUAAUCCGUGAUCUAUGGAGGUGGUUAUUUUGCCCACCUCUAUAAAUCAAACACACAAAACAAAAAAGAAAGAAAAACAUGUAGACAGGCCCG
rnacentral:lncRNA from 1 species